UGCUGUGUAGACCAGACUGGCCCGAGACAGAUUUACCACACCUGACGGCUCCUCCGUUCUUCCUGCUUCCUCUUCCGGGGUUGCCGUAGGGCACCAUUUAGGGCUGAGCACUCAGCAGCCGCCGUUCUGGGCACAUUGACAGUUUGAGCCUCUGCGUUAACUGGUGACCACUGCACACAGAAGCUUCUCCAAGGUUGAGGGAAGCACGGAUCCAGCUCCAUCCUGCCUAUGAACAGAAAACCACUGCUUUGGGCAUCAGAGGCCGGAAAUAGACUGGGAGCUUCCCGCCUAAGGCCAAGGCCUGUGAGGACACCUGUGCAGGAUCUCUCACUUGGCCUGGAGCUCACCAUUUCUGCUAGCCUGGUUGGCCAGUGACCCCCAGGUGGAGAGGUGGAGAGAACUGGAAGAAAGUGCUGUACAUGUGACCCUUUAAUUCUGGAAACAAGCCUGCAGGGAGGAAAUAAAGAAGAAAAGAGAGGAGAUUGCUGGGGAACCAGGGUGGCAAUUACGGUUCUCGUGGAGAAAGAACACAGCCUUUCCAGGUUAUAUCCAGCACCACAGACCCAGCAAGCCGCUGCUCAGCUAAUUAAAACCAGGACGAUGAGGUCAGAGUCAGGGCCCAGAGUGGGCUCGAGGGGCUGAUAAAGGGGGAGAUCAGGAGUGCAUGUUCCACUUUAGUCAGAUUCUCAGAGCCUUCCAAAUAACAUGGCUUGGUGUCAGCACUGUGCAGCUAAGGAUAGCUAGGAACAUGGCCCACCCAGUCAUAACCUACUUAAAGCAUCAUUAAGAGGUGCUUUUGUGAUUUUUGUGGGAGGAGCUCACCUGCACACCUCUUGAGUGGAAACUUUGUAGAUGACUGCCAUGUAAUGCUACCCAAAGACUGAACUGGUGCGUGUGGCUUCGGCCUUCCCAGAAAUUGUGCUUUUUUUUUUUCUCUCUCUCUAAAUACAUGGUCUCAUGUAGCCCAGGCUGGCUUCAACUUGCUGUGUAACUAAGAAUCACCUUUAGUAGAUUUUCUUGCCUCUGAAUGCUGGGUGUGACAGUAAGCUUAACUGUCUACUUGAUACAAUCUGUCUCCUGGGAAGAGCCUCAGUAAGGGAUCGUCUAGAUCAGGUUGGCUUGUGUGCAUAUCUGUACAGGGUUGUCUCCAUUUCAUUAACUGUGGGGGAGAUCCUGUCCCAGAGUGGGGAGCCACCUUUCUCUAAUUUGGGGGCCUGGGCUGUAUGAGAAUCGAGAAAGCUGGCCGAGCCACACGCAGC